rnacentral:rRNA from 1 species
UACGUAGGCAGCAAGCGUUGUUCGGAGUUACUGGGCGUAAAGGGUGCGUAGGCGGCUUCUUAAGUCUGGUGUGAAAUCUCCCGGCUCAACUGGGAGGGUGCGCCGGAUACUGAGGGGCUAGAGUGUGGGAGAGGAAAGUGGAAUUCCUGGUGUAGCGGUGAAAUGCGUAGAUAUCAGGAGGAGCACCGGUGGUGUAAACGGCUUUCUGGACCAUAACUGACGCUGAUGCACGAAAGCGUGGGUAGCAAACAGG